UACGUAGGUGGCGAGCGUUGUCCGGAUUUACUGGGCGUAAAGAGCGCGCAGGCGGUCGUUCAAGUCGCGUGUGAAAGCCCCCGGCUCAACUGGGGAGGGUCACGCGAUACUGAUCGACUCGAAGGCAGGAGAGGGAAGCGGAAUUCCCGGUGUAGUGGUGAAAUGCGUAGAUAUCGGGAGGAACACCAGUGGCGAAGGCGACUUCCUGGUCUGUUCUUGACGCUGAGGCGCGAAAGCUAGGGGAGCAAACGGG
rnacentral:rRNA from 1 species